AUCCAGACUCCUACGGGAGGCAGCAGUGGGGAAUAUUGCACAAUGGGGGAAACCCUGAUGCAGCGACGCCGCGUGAGCGAUGAAGUAUUUCGGUAUGUAAAGCUCUAUCAGCAGGGAAGAAGAUGACGGUACCUGACUAAGAAGCCCCGGCUAACUACGUGCCAGCAGCCGCGGUAAUACGUAGGGGGCAAGCGUUAUCCGGAUUUACUGGGUGUAAAGGGAGCGUAGACGGCGAUGCAAGCCAGAUGUGAAAGCCCGGGGCUCAACCCCGGGACUGCAUUUGGAACUGUGUGGCUGGAGUGUCGGAGAGGCAGGCGGAAUUCCUAGUGUAGCGGUGAAAUGCGUAGAUAUUAGGAGGAACACCGGCGGCGAAGGCGGCCUGCUGGACCGUAACUGACGUUGAGGCUCGAAAGCGUGGGGAGCAAACAGGAUUAGAUACCCCUGUACGA
rnacentral:rRNA from 1 species